GGAACCUUCCAGGAAGAGAUAUACACAAGGGGGUCACGUUUUUUGUCAUCAUCUUAUAUACACACACUCUCCAAUUUUCCUUGAAUGAGAAUAUGCAGACCAGGGAAACAUAGACUCCAUUUUUUUCUUCCUCACGAUACACCAUAAGCACACACUUUCUUUUCCAUGGAGAGGAGGGAAUAACAGAACAUACACUCACCACGCUCAAUUGAUACCCAUAAAGCUUUCACUCAGUCCUCGCUGGUCUUGGAAGAUUCACACACAGUUUCCAUGGAAAGAGUGAGGGAUAGAGAGAGGUAGAGAUCGAUGGAGGGUGGGGGCGAGAAAGAUUAGGCUGAAAAGGGAGAGGAGAUGACACACAGGAUACACUCCAAUUGACCUCACAGUAAACACACACUCUCACAGCCGAUAUACAAACAAACUUCCAUCAUCACUAACCUCACGAGAUCCACACAUGCAUACAGAUCAAAGGGGGGAUCGGGCAAGGAAAACAAUGGGAGUUUGAUCAGAAGUUUGAGAGAGAGAUCGUCAGGGGAGAGAAAAACACAUAGAGGAGAGCAACAACGGCUCGUUCACACUAUUCGGCGACCUUUUCAUCGUCAAAAAAUGGUGUUUCCUCGCCGAAGUUAACACUGUCUCGGGCUCUAAAAAUCGUUUGGGAAUUUGGGUUCGGAAGCUGGGGUUUUAACUCGAGUUGGAUUUUGUUCGUGUUGCAAAAAAAUAGUGAAGGCAUUACUAUGUUGGGGUUCGAAUUGAGAUUGUUGAUUCGAGGUUCGUGUGUAGAGCUCUAACGAAAUGCCCGAAUUGAAAUAAAAUUGAGGAGCCCGCCUGAAGAACAGGGCGAAUACUUGGAAAGUCAAGAACCAAGGUGAAACAGUCGAAAGGCAAGCAACAAGAGGAAGAAAUUAAAAGUCAACAGUUGAAAAAUAGCAAGUCAGGAGCCCGCUUGAAGAAUAGCGUGAAGAAGUUGAAAGUCAAGAAACAAGGUGAAGAAAUUGAAAGUCAACAGAUUGAAAAUAACAAGUCAGGAACCCGCCUGGAAAACAGGGUGAGGAGAUGGAAAUCCAAGCAACAAGUUGAAGAAAUUGCAAGUCAGGAGCCCGUCUAAAGAAUAGGGUGAUGAAACUCAAGUCAAGAGCCAAACAUAAGCUGCAUUGAUAGGAUUUGGUAAUUUCAUUUAUGUUUUAACUUGUAAUUUUCAUUUUUGAUGUAAUAACAGAGCCGCAAACCAGAACCUUGAUGAGGCCUCAAUCGACUCUCCAACUCGGUGUAGUCCUUCUCCUUCCCUUGGAAGUAUCUGAGAUUGGUUUCCUUCAUAACUUGAGUAGGUAGGAUGUCCUAAGUCAAGACCUGAUUGGUCUUUUUCCUUCUGUUUCUCUGAAUAAUUAUCGGGACAAAAUUUUAUCUUGUUGUCUACUUCUUUAUCUGAAAACACUUCGUGUUUACAUUCAAAGGGGGCAUGUGUAGACACCUAAUUUUGUCCCUCCCCGAUAUCACUUUUACUCAUUUUUUACCUUAUCGGCUUAUCCUAUCGUGUACCCCGCAACCAUGAAAUCAUACCCCACAAAAAUACAAAAAUAACAAACUCCCUAACAAAAUUUUAUCUUGUUUUAACCAUCCUAACAACCUCUCCAAUUAAAAACGGACACCUCACCACCCCCACCCCUACUCACAUACCCACUCACAUCUUUUUUAUUAUUAUUAUUAUUCCUUUUCAUAACAAAAGAGGGGCCCACAAGGAACCUUCCAGGAAGAGAUAUACACAAGGGGGUCACAUUUUUUGUCAUCAUCUUAUAUACAUACACUCUCCAAUUUUCCUUGAAUGACAAUACGCACGCCAGGGAAACAUAGACUCCAUUUUUUUUUAUCCUCACGAUACACCAUAAGCACACACUUCCUUUUCCUUGGAGAGGAGCGAAUAACAGAACAUACACUCACCACUCUCAAUUGAUACCCACACAGCUUUUACUCAGUCCUCGCUGAUCGUGGAAGAUUCACACACACAAUUUCCAUGGAAAGAGUGAGGGAUAGAGAGAGGAAGAGAUCGAUAGAGGGUGGGGGUGAGAGAGAUUAGGCAGAAAAGGGAGAGGAGAUGACACACAGGAUACACUCCAAUUGACCUCACAGUAAACACACACUCUCACAGCCGAUAUACAAACACACUUCCAUCGUCACUGACCUCACGAGAUCCACAAACGCAUACAAAUUGAAGGGGGGAUCGGGCAAAGAAAACAAUGGGAGUUUGAUCAGAAGUUUGAGAGAGAGAUCAUCGGGGAAGAGAAAAAUGCAGAGAGAAGAGCAACAGCGGCUCGUUGACACUAUUCGUCGACCUUUUCAUCGUUGGAAAACGACGUUUCCUUGUCAAAGUUAACACUGUCUCGAGCUCUAAAAAUUAUUUGGGAAUUUAGGUUUGAAAGUUGGGGUUUUAACUCGAGUUGGAUUUUGUUUGUGUCGAGUUUCUAAAUCGGGUUCGGGUUGGCAAAAAAACAGUGAAGGCUUUACCAUGUUGGGGUUCGGAUUGAGAUUGUUGAUUCGAGGCUAGUGUUUAGAGCUCUAACUAAAUACCCGAAUUGAAAUAAAAUUAAGGUCCAAUUCUAUCUCGUUCUUAUUUCAAUUUCAUCGUAUAUGUGUGAUUGUUUGGUGUGAAGCAUGCUAUGAAUAUUUUGAUGAUAUUAUUUUUUUUGUUUGGUU